ACCACCUGACAUUUGAAUUUUGGAAUAUUUUUUAAUAGAUUUAAAAAAUGAGAAUUUUUUCAGUUCUUUUUAGAAGAAAACAUAUGCCACCAGGUCAUAUUUGGCGUGGUAAAAACAAGCUGUAUAAAGAAGUGAAGCAAGAAGAUGUUCAGCUUUUAAAGAACAAAUUUGAGAUUGAAGAGAAAAACAUGUUUUAUUUGAGGCAUUCUUUUAUAACACCAGAACAAUCUUCUGGACAUGCUAGAGCUUUAG